rnacentral:rRNA from 1 species
UUGAAGAGUUUGAUCAUGGCUCAGAUUGAACGCUGGCGGCAGGCCUAACACAUGCAAGUCGAGCGGUAGCACAGAGAGCUUGCUCUCGGGUGACGAGCGGCGGACGGGUGAGUAAUGUCUGGGAAACUGCCUGAUGGAGGGGGAUAACUACUGGAAACGGUAGCUAAUACCGCAUAACGUCGCAAGACCAAAGUGGGGGACCUUCGGGCCUCAUGCCAUCAGAUGUGCCCAGAUGGGAUUAGCUAGUAGGUGGGGUAACGGCUCACCUAGGCGACGAUCCCUAGCUGGUCUGAGAGGAUGACCAGCCACACUGGAACUGAGACACGGUCCAGACUCCUACGGGAGGCAGCAGUGGGGAAUAUUGCACAAUGGGCGCAAGCCUGAUGCAGCCAUGCCGCGUGUGUGAAGAAGGCCUUCGGGUUGUAAAGCACUUUCAGCGGGGAGGAAGGCGUUAAGGUUAAUAACCUUGGCGAUUGACGUUACCCGCAGAAGAAGCACCGGCUAACUCCGUGCCAGCAGCCGCGGUAAUACGGAGGGUGCAAGCGUUAAUCGGAAUUACUGGGCGUAAAGCGCACGCAGGCGGUCUGUCAAGUCGGAUGUGAAAUCCCCGGGCUCAACCUGGGAACUGCAUUCGAAACUGGCAGGCUAGAGUCUUGUAGAGGGGGGUAGAAUUCCAGGUGUAGCGGUGAAAUGCGUAGAGAUCUGGAGGAAUACCGGUGGCGAAGGCGGCCCCCUGGACAAAGACUGACGCUCAGGUGCGAAAGCGUGGGGAGCAAACAGGAUUAGAUACCCUGGUAGUCCACGCCGUAAACGAUGUCGAUUUGGAGGUUGUGCCCUUGAGGCGUGGCUUCCGGAGCUAACGCGUUAAAUCGACCGCCUGGGGAGUACGGCCGCAAGGUUAAAACUCAAAUGAAUUGACGGGGGCCCGCACAAGCGGUGGAGCAUGUGGUUUAAUUCGAUGCAACGCGAAGAACCUUACCUGGUCUUGACAUCCACAGAACUUUCCAGAGAUGGAUUGGUGCCUUCGGGAACUGUGAGACAGGUGCUGCAUGGCUGUCGUCAGCUCGUGUUGUGAAAUGUUGGGUUAAGUCCCGCAACGAGCGCAACCCUUAUCCUUUGUUGCCAGCG